rnacentral:rRNA from 1 species
AGCGAACGCUGGCGGCAGGCUUAACACAUGCAAGUCGAGCGGGAACUUCGGUGUCAGCGGCGGACGGGUGGGUAAAACGUGGGAACGUACACUUUGGUUAGGAAUACCGCUGUGAAGCUAGCGCUAAUACAGGAUACGCUAUUUUGGGGCAAGGCUUGCUGCAGAAGGGUGGGCAAGCGCGUGAUUAGCUAGUUGGUGGGGUAAUGGCCUACGAAGGCGGCGAUCGGUAGCUGGUCUGAGAGGAUGAUCAGCAACCCUGGGAGUGAGACAUGGGCCAGACGCCUAAGGGAGGACGCAGUGGGGAAUCCUGGGCAAUGGGGGAGAGCGUAAUACAGUAAUACGGAGUCAGUGAAGAAGGCGCCAGGGGUGGAAAGUCCUUUUGUUGGUAGAGAAAAGCAGCAGGUUAAUACGACGCGGUAAUGACGGUACCGGAAGAAUAAGCCCCGGCUAACUUCGUG